rnacentral:lncRNA from 12 species
CAAGGUUCCAGUCUACAGAUCUCUUGAGUCCUACUGUGGCAGGUUCUGAAAGGGCUCCUGCUUUUGUGUGUCCUGCCAGGAGGAGUGGCUGAACUGACAAUGAUCUCAUCUCAUCUCGUCUCCCAGUGACCUGUCACAAACCAGAGGCAGCCCUAAGUACCUCAGAAAUGUACAAGGAAACUUGUGUCAGACAUGUCUAAAUUAACUGGCUCCUGAGGAAAGACUCCUUCCACCUUGUCAUUAUUAAAAAUGGAAAGAAAACAAAUCACAGAAAACUGAAAAGCCCGAACAAACAAAAAUUGAAGCUUUGAAGAAGGAAGGGAAGGCAGCAUUUACAGCUGACUGGAGGAAGAGGCCAGAUCUACUCAAAGGUGUUGAGAGGCACUAAUGCACGGAUUGACCAGUUUAUGAAACAGAAUGAAGGAUGAAAAACAACACAGUUGUGCCAAGAGAAGUUAUUUCAAUCACUGCAUGUUCCCUGAAGUGUUCUGCAUAAACUUAAAGGCGGCUUCUUGGCCGAUAGGUUUGGGCAGGACGGAGGGAAAGGCUUCAGCACCACGGACAGCGCCCGCGCCGGGGCAGGCGGCGGAGCGGCGGGAGCGCAGCCGCUCGUCGUUCGUCCGCCCAAGGGAGGCAAGCUGGCUGUGCUGACCAGGAAGGGUCUUUUCGUGCCUGGGCGGAGGUGGCUGUGAUGAGCCUUGGAGAAGGCACAGAACAGCAGAGCCUGGUGGAAAGCUGUCACUGCGUGAUAGAGCCUGUGCUGUGGGAAAGAGAUACUCCUGGGAUAUGGCGAGACCACAGGAGAUGGAGCCAAGAGGCACCCAGCAGUGAGAGUGCAGCAGCAACGCUUGAGAUGUCUGACCUCAGAAUCUGGACUCAAACAUGAUGAAGGGUCUUCUUCAUCUCUCUCUUCUGCAGAUCCCAUUCCAUGAGAAUAAUUCACAGUAGAAAGACCGUAUUACUU